GAUAAACGCUGACAGAAUGCUUAACACAUGCAAGUCGAUGAUGAGCUAUAGCUUGCUAUAGUAAGUCAUGGCGGACGGGUGAGUAACGCGUAAAGAACUUACCUCAUAGACUGGGAUAACAGAGGGAAACUUCUGAUAAGACUGGAUAAGUUGGUUAUUAGCAUUAAUAACGAAUGAAAGGGGACACUAUGAGAGAGCUUUGCGUCCUAUUAGCUAGUUGGUGGGGUAAAGGCCUACCAAGGCGAUGAUAGGUAGCCGGCCUGAGAGGGUGGACGGCCACAAGGGGACUGAGAUACGGCCCUUACUCCUACGGGAGGCAGCAGUGGGGAAUAUUGGACAAUGGAGGCAACUCUGAUCCAGCAAUUCUGUGUGUGUGAAGAAGGUUUUAGGACUGUAAAACACUUUUAGUAGGGAAGAAAAAAAUGACGGUACCUACAGAAGAAGCGACGGCUAAAUACGUGCCAGCAGCCGCGGUAAUACGUAUGUCGCGAGCGUUAUCCGGAAUUAUUGGGCUUAAAGGGCAUCUAGGCGGAUAAUCAAGUUGAAGGUGAAAAGCUGUGGCUCAACCAUAGUCUUGCCUACAAAACUGAUUAUCUAGAGUACUGGAAAGGUGGGUGGAACUACACGAGUAGAGGUGAAAUUCGUAGAUAUGUGUAGGAAUGCCGAUGAUGAAGAUAACUCACUGGACAGAAACUGACGCUGAAGUGCGAAAGCUAGGGGAGCAAACAGG
rnacentral:rRNA from 1 species